AUGGUGAUAAAGGAGCAUCCAUCAAUAGAUUCUUGUCACCAAUCAUGUGAUUUGUACAUCCAUUAUCGAGGACCCACUCAUUGGCUUUGGGUUGAUCAUCCUGCGGAUGAAUUAGUGCAACUUACGAACUCAUAUACUUCAUCAGUGAAGAAUAUGACAUCAAUAUCAUCAGAUCAAUUUCAUCGAGCAAUAGAACAGAUAAACAGUAUGAGGAAGUGUGAAAUGAAAGUUCAUUUCAUCAUGAUUAGCCUGCGUCCUUUUAGGCACUGUUCAGGUCUCCAGCAAAUUCUUCACACGUUUUGA
rnacentral:rRNA from 1 species